rnacentral:rRNA from 1 species
UACGACUACAUAUCAGGCAUAUCAAUAAGCGGAGGAAAAGAAACUAACUAGGACUUCCCUUCAGUAACGGCGAGUGAAGCGGGAAGAGCUCAAAUUUGAAAUCUUCAAGGUUUUACCCUGACGAAUUGUAGUUUAAAGAAGUGUUUUCUGUUGGAGUUUUGGUAAAAGUUCUUUGGAAUAGGACAUCAUAGAGGGUGAGAAUCCCGUAUUUGACCAUUAUUUCCAGCUUUGUGAUACACUUUCAAAGAGUCGGAUUGUUUGGGAAUGCAGUCCAAAAUGGGUGAUAAAUUUCAUCUAAAGCUAAAUAUUGGCGAGAGACCGAUAGCGAACAAGUACCGUGAGGGAAAGAUGAAAAGAACUUUGAAAAGAGAGUUAAACAGUACGUGAAAUUGUCAAAAGGGAAGCGUUUGACACCAGUGUUGUUUUCUCGAAAAUCAAUUAAAAAAUGGCAUGAUUUUGUGUUGUAUUGACUUUAUCAAGCUUUCUGCACUCUUUUCUUGUCUUUUUUAAUGCACUUUUCGUUUAACAAGUCAACAUCAAUUUCUUUUGUUGUAAAAGGGUCAUUGGAAGGUGGCUUUCUUUUCGGAGAAAGUGUUUAUAGCCUAUUGGCCUCUGCAAUCGGAGAGAUUGAGGUCUGCAGCGUAGAUCCUUCGGGGUUAGAUACAUUUGUGCUAAGUUAUAGCCUUUCAUAGACAACUUGUUGACUAUGAUCAGUCAUGUAGCUUACUCGCUUAUGCUAUUUUACCUACGCUUAGGAUGUUGAGCGCAUGUCUCUCUCU